ensembl:lncRNA
CGAGGUCAUUAAUUACAGAUGAAUUCAGCUGACGGGGUGGGGGGUUGUUUGAUGCUCGGCGGUUAAAAGUUGCCGCUCAACAAAGUCCCCUCCGAGCGGCGGCCAUCUUGGUGUCUGCCCCAUCGUCGACGCCCGCUUCGUGUCUGACAACGUAGGGGCGGGGGGGGUGUCACUGUCUCUGUCAGACGUCAAGCGGGGGCCUGGCGGUGGAUCGUGGGCGUCCCCAGAGAUCGCCUGAUUGAAACCUGGCAACAGGACCGAACAGCUGCUUCAAACAAAAGACAUCUGCAUAACUCACAGCGCUGCUGCAUAAAUUACCCAGCAGCCGCGAGGGGGCGGGGCCUGUGCGCGCAUAAUUAGAGGAAGUUUACAAGAUCUGAAGUCAAGAAAUUAAAGAGCAAGUGGAGAGGUUGAUCUGUGGCUUCAGGGACCAUCUCCACAAAGAGAGGAGGAGGAGCAGGAGGAGGAGGAGAGGGGAGGAAGAGAGGGGAGAGGAGGAGGAGGAGGAGGAAGAGCAGGAGGAGGAGGAGCAGGAGGAGGAGGAGAGGGGGGGAGGAAGAGAGGGGAGAGGAGGAGGAGGAGGAAGAGCAGGAGGAGGAGGAGCAGGAGGAGCAGGAGAAUCAUGCAUACGAAGGAUGAGGUGACGAUUCUCUUCCCGUCGUCAGACGAGCGUCCUCCCGUUCGGCCGGUAGUGUGUUAUAUUAAGAAGUUACCAAGGCGACCGGGGACGGCCUCAUUACCAUAAACAGGUUGGUCCUGGCGGGCGUCAGGUGGUCUUCACGGGGGGGGGGGGGCUGUAGCUGCGGUGUAGCGUAGCGCUGAGCCCCAACACGGAGGAGCGACUGUAAUUAAAACCUGGAGGAGCAGGCGCAGACGAGAAGCCGCUCCUCUAGGCCUCUGAGAUAACUGCUUUAUUGGAGAACAUAUUUAUUCAAUUACACUCUCAUACUCUCCCCGGGACGGGACACAACAUCAAGGUUGUUUCCCCUCCUCUUCCGGCUCCGAACGGGAGGGUUUGGUUGUUAAAACGAUUCCCCGGUGAUAGUUAGUUCAAUAGUUUAUCUAACUCACUCUCCGGACGGCUUUAACGACUCUCUGUUUUAGCUGUUUACAUAAAACCAUGAAAAUGAUUAUUUAUUGCACAAUAAAAAUAAAUGAGGCAGAACCUCCACACAUGGCAAACUAUUAACUGUAAAAACAGAAACGUUAACAGCCAACGCCCGGUUCAUCCAUACGCUUUAUUUAUUCAUCAG